CUGGACUGAGAGCCCCUCUCAGCCAUGCUGUGCUGGGCAACCUGGGACUGGCCCCUUAGCCCCUCUGGGUCUUGAUUCCUUGUGAAGAGUUUCUGCCCAUCCCUUGAGCCUCAGAACGUCCUGGGGUGAAGCACAGCCCCUACUCUUGCUGCCCUGGUAGAAGACGAGGCCCAGAGAGGGGCAGGGCCCGCCCAAGGCUGCACAGUGAGUAUGAUCUGGAAGCCCCCAGGGCCGGCAAAGGGGUGCAGGGUGCUGGGGCUGAGGUAGUCCGGGGAGCUGGCCCCGCUGGGAUGUGCUGGGCCUGAGACAGUCACAGCUUCCCCUGGGCUCCUCUUCUCUCAUUUCUUUCCUCUUCCUGCCCCGCCCCUCAGCAGAAUCUCUGCCCCCAACACCUACAGCCCCUGCCCUCCUUCUGAGGCUGUGGAAACGGAGUCACAGGGAGGUGGAGUCAGGCAGGAGAUGUAUCCAGGCUUCCUGACUGCCCGCUCCCUCUUCACGUUGCUUCUCCUGCCAUCCGGUGCCCAGCGAGGCUCUGAGAAGCCGGGACACUCUGCCCAGGGACUGCCUCCCUGGCCCGGACCCUGGGGGCUGCGGGGACCUCCGGCGGGUCCCGGGCUGGGCUUCCCCGUCCCACCAUCCAGCUGCCCCAGGAUGAGCAAGGCUGGCCCAGCAUCUCUGAGUGAGUGGGGAAGGGAGGGGAAAGCCAAAACUUUAAGGUAUAUGAACUGUGAAAUUAAAUCGAAAUACUCAAAUAAGGAAUCACAUAACAACAUAAGCAAAGAUGUUUACCAGAGCUUGAAGUUAAAUACAGAUUUUUUCAUAAACCCAAA
rnacentral:lncRNA from 1 species